GAUGAAGAACGCAGCGAAAUGCGAUAAGUAAUGUGAAUUGCAGAAUUCAGUGAAUCAUCGAAUCUUUGAACGCACAUUGCGCCCGCCAGUAUUCUGGCGGGCAUGCCUGUCCGAGCGUCAUUUCAACCAUCAAGCCCCGGGCUUGUGUUGGGGACCUGCGUCCGACGCAGGCCCUGAAAACCAGUGGCGGGCUCGCUGUCCACACCGAGCGUAGUAACUAACCUCGCUAUGGAGUGGCGCGGGCGCCUGCCGUAAAACCCCCAAUUUCACAAGGUUGACCUCGGAUCAGGUAGGAAUACCCGCUGAAAUUAAGCAUAUCAAUAAGCGGAGGA
rnacentral:misc_RNA from 1 species